GUAGGGUGCAAGCGUUGUUCGGAAUCAUUGGGCGUAAAGCGCGUGUAGGCGGUUCGUUAAGUCUGGUGUGAAAGCCCGGGGCUUAACUCCGGAAGUGCACUGGAUACUGGCAAACUAGAGGACGAGAGAGGGAAGCGGAAUUCCUGGUGUAGGGGUGAAAUCCGUAGAUAUCAGGAGGAAUGUCGGAGGCGAAGGCGGCUUUCUGGCUCGUAUCUGACGCUGAGACGCGAAAGCGUGGGGAGCAAACAGGGAUUAGAUACCCUGGUAGUCCACGCCCUAAACGAUGGACACUAGUCGCCCGGAAUACCCUAAUUGUUUCGGUGGCGAAGCUAACGCAUUAAGUGUCCCGCCUGAGGAUUACGGUCGCAAGAUUA
rnacentral:rRNA from 1 species